GGGUAGGCGCCGGCAGAACGGAUAUCAUUGAUGUUGGUAAGUAUGAGACAAAAGUCUUCCUACCUU
rnacentral:tRNA from 1 species